AUGGCGUUGUCUACUCGAAAUCGAAAGCGUAAACAAUUGGGGGAUGGCGUUGCUCCGUUUGAGUUUCCGUUUCAGACCCAGAAGAUCAAGAGGGUUUCUAGGGUUUUUGAGAACCAACAGAAUUUAGCCGGGGAGAAAAAACCAACUACUUCUCUUCCUCUGCGCAAGGGUUUGUCGCCCAAACAGAUACAGACCAUCCCUUUGGCUUCGUCUCCUAGAAAGCAUAGAAAAUCGGAGGAGUUAGGUUUUGAUGGUCUCUGUCAGACUCAGAAGAUCAAGAGGCAAAAACUAGGUUUUGAGUUUGAUUGUUCUGAAAUUUUGGGGUGUCUGAUGAACCUCCGCCAUGUGAGUAGGUACUUUGAGAAGCCUGUGGUUGAUCCGGUUUAUUUCCACGACAUCUGGAGGCCGAUGGAUUUCGGUACUGUGAAAUCCAAAUUGGAGAGGGGUGUCUACUCCAGUCCUGAUGGGUUUGCUGCUGAUGUGAGGCUUACCUUGUCAAAUGCUUUAAGAUAUUAUCCGCCUGGGAGGAUUGAGCGUGCAGCAGCCAAGCAUCUCAGUGGUGUUUUUGAGAGCAAGUGGAAGGAAGCCCUGGAGAAAAACCCCAAGUCUGUUUGUCCUUCUCCUCUGCCCAAAGUCAAGGGUUUGGCAGUGUUACCCAAACUGAAACAGGGCAAUACCUCUUCUCCUUCUAGCGUUCUUCAAAGUCAAGGGCUUGGUGUUUCUGAUUCUCAGUCGGUUGAUUCAACCAAACACGAUGAGUUGGCCACCCUUGUUGAUAAUGCCAUGGAUCAGGCCUCAGAGAAUCUUUCAAAAUGUAAGGCUGUCCGAAUUCUUGCACUAAAGCUACGAUUUUCAGGUACAAUAUUGAAAGCAAACAAGAUACUUAAGGGUCUACCUGAUUCUCCACCAAGGAGAAAAUCGAUGCAGCGGAUGAAGCAAAGGGAGUUGGCUUGUCGUGCCAUUUCGAACAUGAAGAAGUCAGUGCAAUUUGAGGACCCUUUACAGGAUCUCAAACAACUUGAGAUGCUGUGUGGCUGUGGCAGUGAAGAUCCUUUUCUACAGGUCCGCCUUGGAUUGCCGCUUAAGAAAUUGGGUGUAUUCCUCAGGGAAGAUGAUGAGUUGCAAGGUCAGGAUGAGGAGGCCUUUUUGA
rnacentral:lncRNA from 1 species